GUUCAGGGGCUCAGCGGAUAAGAGCGCUGACUGCUCUUCCAGAGAUCCUGAGUUCAAAUCCCAGCAACC
rnacentral:tRNA from 1 species